rnacentral:rRNA from 1 species
GACGAACGCUGGCGGCGUGCCUAAUACAUGCAAGUCGAGCGCAGGAAACUGACGGAACUCUUCGGAGGGAAGGCAGUGGAAUGAGCGGCGGACGGGUGAGUAACACGUAAGGAACCUGCCUCAAGGAUUGGGAUAACUCCGAGAAAUCGGAGCUAAUACCGGAUAGUUCAACGGACCGCAUGGUCCGCUGAUGAAAGGCGCUCCGGCGUCACCUUGAGAUGGCCUUGCGGUGUAUUAGCUAGUUGGUGGGGUAACGGCCCACCAAGGCGACGAUGCAUAGCCGACCUGAGAGGGUGAUCGGCCACACUGGGACUGAGACACGGCCCAGACUCCUACGGGAGGCAGCAGUAGGGAAUCUUCCACAAUGGACGAAAGUCUGAUGGAGCAACGCCGCGUGAGUGAUGAAGGUUUUCGGAUCGUAAAACUCUGUUGUAAGGGAAGAACACGUACGAGAGGAAAUGCUCGUACCUUGACGGUACCUUACGAGAAAGCCACGGCUAACUACGUGCCAGCAGCCGCCGUAAGAC